rnacentral:rRNA from 1 species
GAUGAACGCUGGCGGCGUGCCUAAUACAUGCAAGUCGAGCGAACAGACGAGGAGCUUGCUCCUCUGACGUUAGCGGCGGACGGGUGAGUAACACGUGGAUAACCUACCUAUAAGACUGGGAUAACUUCGGGAAACCGGAGCUAAUACCGGAUAAUAUAUUGAACCGCAUGGUUCAAUAGUGAAAGACGGUUUUGCUGUCACUUAUAGAUGGAUCCGCGCCGCAUUAGCUAGUUGGUAAGGUAACGGCUUACUAAGGCAACGAUGCGUAGCCGACCUGAGAGGGUGAUCGGCCACACUGGAACUGAGACACGGUCCAGACUCCUACGGGAGGCAGCAGUAGGGAAUCUUCCGCAAUGGGCGAAAGCCUGACGGAGCAACGCCGCGUGAGUGAUGAAGGUCUUCGGAUCGUAAAACUCUGUUAUUAGGGAAGAACAAAUGUGUAAGUAACUAUGCACGUCUUGACGGUACCUAAUCAGAAAGCCACGGCUAACUACGUG